UCUCCGUAGGUGAACCUGCGGAGGGAUCAUUACUGAGUGAGGGCUCACGCCCGACCUCCAACCCUGUGUGAACCAAUCUUGUUGCUUCGGGGGCGACCCUGCCGGCACUCGGUCGCCGGGCGCCCCCGAAAGUAUCCCAACACUGCAUCUUUGCGUCGGAGUUUAAAACAAAUUAAACAAAACUUUCAACAACGGAUCUCGUGGUUCUGGCAUCGAUGAAGAACGCAGC
rnacentral:misc_RNA from 1 species